GUUAUCUGUAGAGGAUAACAAAUUCAACAAAAAGUCAUUUUAAUCAUCAAAGCAAUCAAAAAUGGUAACAAAUAUAAAAGGAGACUUUCAUCAACAAUCAAAGGAAUUGUCGAAGUUAUUAGGACAAGCAGAGGGAUUAAUCAGAAUAAAAGGAUUUGCCUAAAAGGAUGAACAUUAAUGAAUAGAUUGUUUGUGUGGAUCUGUCAAUUGCUUACAGUUUGUCUGAACAUGUGGGCCAAUCCUGAUUUCUGAGGCAACUUUUCAUUGGGAGAUAGAUACAUAUUCAAAGAUGAAAUGAGCAACAAAAAAGUUGGAAAAAUGAAGAAGAAGAAGAAAGAAAAGAAAGAGAGAAAAAAGUUUGCCAAAAUGUUAUCUGGUUGAGUCUAAGGACCAAAACAGGUUACCAGGCGGAAUGGGAAUCCAAGGAGAAAGAAAGAGGUUCAACCCGAAAAUUAAAUUGGCCUAGACCAUUGGAUAAUCAUUUUUUUAGUUAUGCCAAGAAGUUUCAUUCUCAUCAAAUUAUGCCUCAGGUGACCUAGGAAAUCUUCACUCUUUCUUCUUCUUCUCAACAUGUAAACAUAUUUACUCAUUUAACUACUUUCUCUCCACUUAUUAUUUUUAUCAUCAUCAUCAUGGUCAUCAUCAUUAACUUUAUCAUCUUUACUUUUACCGUCUAUUACGCUUCUAGUCUUUUAUAUAAUCAAGUUAUAUCAUCAGAUUCACAAUCGAGUAUUUUGGUCAAUAAGAAGCAUGUUUCAAUUAAACGAUCAAGUUGAUUCAGUAAUAUUAACUCAAUGUAUCCUAUUUAGUCUUUCAGUUUGCUUAAAGUUAAAAGCUCAGCAUGAAAAGGUAAAUAUGAAAUCAUAUUGAUCAAAGAUCCAGGUGAUCCAUCAUUUCAUUUGACUGUUGCUUUUUAAACAUUUUGACGCCAAUCUUUUCAAUUAAUAAGGGUUAAAAAGCUUUUGAAAUGUAUUAUCUAAAUUAAUUUUAUGAUUAGAUUGUAUUAAGUUAUCUCA